CCUACGGGAGGCAGCAGUGGGGAAUAUUGCACAAUGGGGGAAACCCUGAUGCAGCGACGCCGCGUUGGAGGAAGAAGGUCUUUCGGAUUGUAAACUCCUGUUGUUGAGGAAUGAUAAUGACGGUACUCAACAAGGAAGUGACGGCUAACUACGUGC
rnacentral:rRNA from 1 species